UACGGGGGGGGCAAGCGUUGUUCGGAAUUACUGGGCGUAAAGGGCUCGUAGGCGGCCAACUAAGUCAGACGUGAAAUCCCUCGGCUUAACCGGGGAACUGCGUCUGAUACUGGAUGGCUUGAGUUUGGGAGAGGGAUGCGGAAUUCCAGGUGUAGCGGUGAAAUGCGUAGAUAUCUGGAGGAAGACCAGUGGCGAAGGCGGGUCUCUGGACAGUUCCUGACGCUGAGGCACGAAAGUCAGGGGAGCAAACGGG
rnacentral:rRNA from 1 species